UACGUAGGCAGCGAGCGUUGUUCGGAGUUACUGGGCGUAAAGCGUGCGUAGGCGGUCUUCUAAGUCUGGUGUGAAAUCUCCCGGCUCAACUGGGAGGGUGCGCCGGAUACUGGGAGGCUGGAGUAUGGGAGAGGUAGGCGGAAUUCCUGGUGUAGCGGUGAAAUGCGUAGAUAUCAGGAGGAACACCUGUGGUGUAGACGGCCUGCUGGACCAUGACUGACGCUGAGGCACGAAAGCGUGGGGAGCAAACAGG
rnacentral:rRNA from 1 species